rnacentral:rRNA from 1 species
UACGUAGGGUGCAAGCGUUGUCCGGAAUUAUUGGGCGUAAAGAGCUCGUAGGCGGUCUGUUGCGUCGGCUGUGAAAACCCGGGGCUCAACUCCGGGCCUGCAGCCGAUACGGGCAGACUAGAGUUCGGCAGGGGAGACUGGAAUUCCUGGUGUAGCGGUGAAAUGCGCAGAUAUCAGGAGGAACACCCGUGGCGAAGGCGGCUCUCUGGGACGGUACUGACGCUGAGACGCGAAAGCGUGGGGAGCGAACAGG